GCCUACGGGGGGCAGCAGUGGGGAAUAUUACACAAUGGGGGAAACCCUGAUGCAGCGACGCCGCGUGAGUGAAGAAGUAUUUCGGUAUGUAAAGCUCUAUCAGCAGGGAAGAUAAUGACGGUACCUGACUAAGAAGCCCCGGCUAACUACGUGCCAGCAGCCGCGGUAAUACGUAUGGAGCAAGCGUUAUCCGGAUUUACUGGGUGUAAAGGGAGAGUAGGUGGCAGAGCAAGUCCGAAGUGAAAACCCAAAGCUCAACUAUGGGAAUGCUUUAGAAACUGCUCAGCUAGAGUGCAGGAGAGGCA
rnacentral:rRNA from 1 species